UCCCCGCGUGCGGGGGCCGCGCGCUCCUUGAGCCUGCUGCGCUCAAGUCUGCGUCGCGGUCGGUCGCGGUGCAACUCCGCGGCGGCGAAC
rnacentral:tRNA from 1 species